rnacentral:rRNA from 1 species
UACGUGAGGUGGCAAGCGUUGUCCGGAUUUACUGGGCGUAAAGAGCGCGCAGGCGGUCGUUUAAGUCGAAUGUGAAAGCCCCCGGCUCAACCUGGGGAGGGUCAUUCGAUACUGAUCGACUUGAAGGCAGGAGAGAGAAGUGGAAUUCCCGGUGUAGUGGUGAAAUGCGUAGAUAUCGGAGGAACACCAGUGGCGAAGGCGACUUCUUGGCCUGUUCUUGACGCUGAGGCGCGGAAAGCUGGGGGAGCAAACGGG